GGCCUUUGCCCCCUGGCAAAUCAUCCUUGGCUUAUGUGUGUGGUGAAUGACCGUCAAUUCGGUCCAAUGAUAUUGUAAAACUGAAUUUAGAGUCUGCAAUUGUUACUUGGGGGUUUGGUAGACGGUCGUUGUGUUUGGGGACGCUGCAGCUGCAGCUGCAGCUGCCGGUUCUCUUGUUGUGGUAGGUUUGUGUGGCAUGGCAGGUGCUGCUAAGCUGGAGCCUGCUUGAACUGUUUUCCUGUCACUUUGUUGGGGUAAUAAUGACCAUCCUGUAUGAUAUUAGUACUGACUUGGAGUAAUAACCAUUCCCGGCGUGAUGCAUUGCGCCUGUGGUGGUGUUUCUUUUGAGCCAUGAAGUUAAACGACUUGAGUGUCGGCAGUUGUUGCUCCUUCUGGAAGUGGCAGGUUCAGAGAUGAUGAGAUGAGACACCCAGCCUCAGAUCUGUUUUUAGAGGAAAAGGGCUCUCGCCCCGGUUCCAUAGCAAUAAUAACGAAAUCAAAACAGAGAGUCAGCGCUUACACGGCACGCGGGGGAAAACAGUCAACAUGCUGCCCCAGCAAAAACAAAGGGAGUCUACAUCCCUGCCCCAGCAAAAACAAAGGGAGUCUACCCCUCCUAACUUGGCGUAGUCCGGUUGUGAUACAAGCCCUGAAUGUACAAAAAAAAAA
rnacentral:lncRNA from 1 species